rnacentral:lncRNA from 1 species
GCAUGCGUGCUGAGCCACCCAGAGGCAAAAACCGAUAAGAAAUAAACACUUUUGGAAACUUGUGUGAUGAAGUUUGAAAUCCACAGCUGAGUGAAGCAAGGGGUCACGACGUGGUUAGUUGCUAUGUUGGAGCAUGGAUUUUGGAAUAACAUAAAUCUGCUUUCCUGGUCUGUGGUCACUCCCAUUUGGCUCCAUGUCUUAUGCCUUUCAAGACUGGAUGGAAGGCUAGCAGAGGCCCAAAGGAGUCAGGCUGUGACCCACCGCUCAGCUUCUUUCACAGACUCCUCAGCACAACACAGCCCCGUCUUCAGUUGCCCUGGACAGGGUGAAGACAGGCUCGAAGACAGUUCAUGGCAUAAUCUUUGGACUUCUUUUAUCUGCCAGCCAACAUUUAUCCCAGACUGGUCUUGACAGCAAUAAUCCUGAUCCAAUGUCAGCAUGCUCGAUAAAACUGCUGGGUUCUGAGCCUCCUGUUCUCCUCCACAUCCUUCAGUUUCUACAUGUCCCUAACUGGUGACAUCUCAUAAAUUUGUUUUCUGUCCAGGUCAUAGGCGUCCUGGCACUUGAGCUGAGCCCGAGACCACUUGGUGAUCCCAUCGGAGGGAUUACCCAUCCUGCCUUGUGUUUAGUGCAGAGGGAGAGGAACAGCCUGACGCCAACCUGGCUACAAG